rnacentral:rRNA from 1 species
UACAGAGGUCUCAAGCAUUGUUCGGAUUCAUUGGGCGUAAAGGGUGCGUAGGCGGCGCGGUAAGUCGGGUGUGAAAUCUCGGAGCUUAACUCCGAAACUGCAUUCGAUACUGCCGUGCUUGAGGACUGGAGAGGAGACUGGAAUUCAUGGUGUAGCAGUGAAAUGCGUAGAGAUCAUGAGGAAGACCAGUGGCGAAGGCGGGUCUCUGGACAGUUCCUGACACUGAGGCACGAAGGCCAGGGGAGCAAACGGG